rnacentral:rRNA from 1 species
GAUGAACGCUGGCGGCGUGCUUAACACAUGCAAGUCGAACGGUGAACACGGAGCUUGCUCUGUGGGAUCAGUGGCGAACGGGUGAGUAACACGUGAGCAACCUGCCCCUGACUCUGGGAUAAGCGCUGGAAACGGCGUCUAAUACUGGAUAUGUGACGUGACCGCAUGGUCUGCGUUUGGAAAGAUUUUUCGGUUGGGGAUGGGCUCGCGGCCUAUCAGCUUGUUGGUGAGGUAAUGGCUCACCAAGGCGUCGACGGGUAGCCGGCCUGAGAGGGUGACCGGCCACACUGGGACUGAGACACGGCCCAGACUCCUACGGGAGGCAGCAGUGGGGAAUAUUGCACAAUGGGCGCAAGCCUGAUGCAGCAACGCCGCGUGAGGGAUGACGGCCUUCGGGUUGUAAACCUCUUUUAGCAGGGAAGAAGCGAAAGUGACGGUACCUGCAGAAUAAGCGCCGGCUAACUACGUG